rnacentral:rRNA from 1 species
AGGCACGCAAAUUANCCCACUCCCGGCACGGGGAGGUAGUGACAAAAAAUAACGAUACGGGACUCUUAUGAGGCCCCGUAAUCGGAAUGAGUACACUUUAAAUCCUUUAACAAGGAUCCAUUGAAGGGCAAGUCUGGUGCCAGCAGCCGCGGUAAUUCCAGCUUCAAUAGCGUAUAUUAAAGUUGUUGCGGUUAAAAAGCUCGUAGUUGGUUCUGCGUGCUACGCUGUCGGUUCGCCGCCUGCCGGUGUAACUGGCAUGCCGUGGCAUGUCCUGCCGGUGGCGUGCGGGAGCCUUGUCAGGUGACGACCCGGGUUCGCUCGGUGCCGUAGGCCGGAGGUCCACCCCGUGCGCCUACUCUAUCCUACCUAGGUGCUCUUCACCGAGUGUCGAGGUAGGCCGGUACGUUUACUUUGAACAAAUUAGAGUGCUCAAAGCAGGCUGAAAUCUCUGCCUGAAUAGUGGUGCAUGGAAUAAUAAAACAGGACCUUGGUUCUAUUUUGUUGGUUCUUAGGAACACAAGGUAAUGAUCAAUACGGACAGGCGGGGGCAUUCGUAUUGCGACGUUAGAGGUGAAAUUCUUGGAUCGUCGCAAGACGCACAAGAGCGAAAGCAUUUGCCAAGUAUGUCUUGAUUGAUCAAGAACGAAAGUUAGAGGUUCGAAGGCGAUCAGAUACCGCCCUAGUUCUAACCAUAAACGAUGCCAGCCAGCGAUCCGCCGAUGUUCCUCCGAUGACUCGGCGGGGAGCUUCUUCCCGGGAAACCAAAGCUUUUGGGUUCCGGGGGAAGUAUGGUUGCAAAGCUGAAACUUAAAGGAAUUGACGGAAGGGCACCACCAGGAGUGGAGCCNGCGGCUUAAUUUGACUCAACACGGGAAACCUCACCAGGCCAGGACAUUGGAAGGAUUGACAGAUUGAUAGCUCUUUCUUGAUUCAGUGGGUAGUGGUGCAUGGCCGUUCUUAGUUGGUGGAUCGAUUUGUCUGGUUAAUUCCGAUAACGAACGAGACUCUNGCCUAUUAACUAGGCGUUUUCCGGUGUCCCCGCCACCGGCGACAAUCAUUCUUCUUAAGGGGACAGGCGGCUUAUAGCCGCACGAGAUUGAGCAAUAACAGGUCUGUGAUGCCCUUAGAUGUCCUGGGCCGCACGCGCGCUACACUGAAGGAAUCAGCGUGUGCCUCCCAUGUCGUAAGGCACGGGUAAUCCGCUGAACCUCCUGCGUGCUAGGAAUUGGGGCUUGCAAUUGUUCCCCAUGAACGAGGAAUUCCCAGUAAGCGCGAGUCAUAAGCUCGCGUUGAUUACGUCCCUGCCCUUUGUACACACCGCCCGUCGCUACUACCGAUUGAAUGAUUUAGUGAGGUCUUCGGACUGGCGGUAAUCCCUA